AAAAUAUAUGGCGAAACCGACAGUUUAAAACCGAACCAAACCGUUAGAUUUAAAUUUGAGUUUUUUUCAAACCGUCUAAAAUGGUUUGAUUUAGAUUUGGGUUUUUCUCAAACGGUUUGGUUUGAAAAUCCGCCAAAAAUAGGUAAAACCGGACCGGUUACCCUAAUAUUAUGCAUACCUCAGAGAAAAGCAGACAAAGUUUCAGUAAAAAUCAGUUACACCAAUAUACCAGUUCUUGGAUCAGCACAAAAGCUGCAAAUGAGAACAAACAUUAACUACAGGAAUAGAAGGAAGAAAUUUAACAAUAUUAAAAUGAUUAAUGCAACUUAAAUUAGCAGCUGGAAGACUAAAUUUGACUGAAGAUAGCUAGAGAGAUUCAAGUUUACAAUUACAAAAUAGUUUAAUUAGAGAAUGCUGUGUUUUAUUUGCGUUUCAAUAAAGAAAAAAGAAAAAUAAUAAAAAUUAAAAUUAGAAGUUCACCUUAAAAAAAAGGAUAAAAUGAUAAACCGUUACCAAAAGAGAAAAAAAAAAAGAAAGGGAAACAUACCCGACAUAAUACUCUCGAAUUUCGUACCAAAAAAAGCGUUAAUUACGGAUUCUAUUACUUAGAUCAGAAAACAUACCGCAAAAUAUACACAAACAAAGUAGAUUAAAAAUGAUUCGUGUACUUCGAUUAGCAAGCCGCGAAGUAAUUUAGGAAAGUACACAGCUUCCAGUUGUAAUAACUAAAAUCAGCUAAAAAAAAAGCUAGAAAAAACACUUGAUCUGCAAGAGUAGAAAGAGAAGAGUAAGAGUUACCGGAUCGGAAGGAGAUGGUGUGGUGGCGGCGAAUUACGGCUAGAUAUCAGACCAUUUUGGGGGAACGAGGGUUUGUUGGUGAUGGAUGGAUAAAGUGCGAAUCCCUAGAGAGAGAGAAUGAAAGAGGAAAGUAGCAGUAGAAAAUGAGGGAAGAGUUGUAUUUACGACAAACCCCCGACAGCUACACGUAUAAAAGCAUACACUCGCACGCGCUCACACAUGC
rnacentral:lncRNA from 1 species